UACGUAGGGGGCAAGCGUUGUCCGGAAUCAUUGGGCGUAAAGCGCGCGUAGGCGGCCCGGUAAGUCCGCUGUAAAAGUCAAAGGCUCAACCUUUGAAUGCCGGUGGAUACUGUCGGGCUAGAGUCCGGAAGAGGCGAGUGGAAUUCCUGGUGUAGCGGUGGAAUGCGCAGAUAUCAGGAGGAACACCGAUAGCGAAGGCAGCUCGCUGGGACGGUACUGACGCUCAGGCGCGAAAGCGUGGGGAGCGAACAGG
rnacentral:rRNA from 1 species